rnacentral:rRNA from 1 species
AAAGGAAUUGACGGGGACCCGCACAAGCGGUGGAUGAUGUGGUUUAAUUCGAUGCAACGCGAAAAACCUUACCCACCUUUGACAUGGCAGGAACUUACCAGAGAUGGUUUGGUGCUCGAAAGAGAACCUGCACACAGGUGCUGCAUGGCUGUCGUCAGCUCGUGUCGUGAGAUGUUGGGUUAAGUCCCGCAACGAGCGCAACCUUUGCCAUUAGUUGCUACAUUCAGUUGAGCACUCUAAUGGGACUGCCGGUGACAAACCGGAGGAAGGUGGGGAUGACGUCAAGUCCUCAUGGCCCUUAUAGGUGGGGCUACACACGUCAUACAAUGGCUGGUACAAAGGGUUGCCAACCCGCGAGGGGGAGCUAAUCCCAUAAAGCCAGUCGUAGUCCGGAUCGCAGUCUGCAACUCGACUGCGUGAAGUCGGAAUCGCUAGUAAUCGUGGAUCAGAAUGUCACGGUGAAUACGUUCCCGGGUCUUGUACACACCGCCCGUCACA